rnacentral:rRNA from 1 species
UCCGGAUUUAUUGGGCGUAAAGGGCUCGUAGGUGGUUGAUCGCGUCGGAAGUGUAAUCUUGGGGCUUAACCCUGAGCGUGCUUUCGAUACGGGUUGACUUGAGGAAGGUAGGGGAGAAUGGAAUUCCUGGUGGAGCGGUGGAAUGCGCAGAUAUCAGGAGGAACACCAGUGGCGAAGGCGGUUCUCUGGGCCUUUCCUGACGCUGAGGAGCGAAAGCGUGGGGAGCGAACAGGCUUAGAUACCCUGGUAGUCCACGCUGUAAACGGUGGGUACUAGGUGUGGGGUCCAUUCCACGGGUUCCGUGCCGUAGCUAACGCUUUAAGUACCCCGCCUGGGGAGUACGGCCGCAAGGCUAAAACUCAAAGGAAUUGACGGGGCCCCGCACAAGCGGCGGAGCAUGCGGAUUAAUUCGAUGCAACGCGUAGAACCUUACCUGGGUUUGACAUGGAUCGGGAGUGCUCAGAGAUGGGUGUGCCUCUUUUGGGGUCGGUUCACAGGUGGUGCAUGGCUGUCGUCAGCUCGUGUCGUGAGAUGUUGGGUUAAGUCCCGCAACGAGCGCAACCCUUGUUCACUGUUGCCAGCACGUUAUGGGUGGGGACUCAGUGGAGACCGCCGGGGUCAACUCGGAGGAAGGUGGGGAUGACGUCAAGUCAUCAUGCCCCUUAUGUCCAGGGCUUCACGCAUGCUACAAUGGCUGGUACAGAGAGUGGCGAGCCUGUGAGGGUGAGCGAAUCUCGGAAAGCCGGUCUCAGUUCGGACUUGGGGUCUGCAACUCGACCUCAUGAAGUCGGAGUCGCUAGUAAUCGCAGAUCAGCAACGCUGCGGUGAAUACGUUGCC